UGAGGAAUAUUGGUCAAUGGGCGAGAGCCUGAACCAGCCAAGUCGCGUGAGGGAGGAAGGUCCUACGGAUUGUAAACCUCUUUUGCCGGGGGAUAACGGGCGCCACGCGUGGCGCCGUGAAGGUACCCGGAGAAUAGGCAUCGGCUAACUCCGUGCCAGCAGCCGCGGUAAUACGGAGGAUGCGAGCGUUAUCCGGAUUUAUUGGGUUUAAAGGGUGCGCAGGCGGGCGUCUAAGUCAGCGGUGAAAGUUCCCGGCUCAACCGGGUCAGUGCCGAUGAUACUGGGGGUCUUGAAUGCGGUCGAGGCCGGCGGAAUGUGGCGUGUAGCGGUGAAAUGCAUAGAUAUGCCACAGAACACCGAUAGCGAAGGCAGCUGGCCGGGCCUGCAUUGACGCUGAGGCACGGAAGCGUGGGGAUCGAACAGGAUUAGAUACCCUGGUAGU
rnacentral:rRNA from 1 species